rnacentral:rRNA from 1 species
AUUGAACGCUGGCGGCAGGCCUAACACAUGCAAGUCGAGCGGAGCGGCGGACGGGUGAGUAAUGCCUAGGAAUCUGCCUGGUCGUGGGGGAGAACGUCAGGAAACGGGCGCUAAUACCGCAUACUAUCAGAUGAGCCUAGGUCGGAUUAGCUAGUUGGUGGGGUAAGGGCCUACCAAGCCGACGAUCCCUAACUGGUCUGAGAGGAUGAUCAGUCACACUGGGACUGAGACACGGUCCAGACUCCGACGGGAGGCAGGAGUGGGGAAUAUUGGACAAUGGGCGCAAGCCUGAUCCAGCCAUGCCGCGUGUGUGAAGAAGGUCUUCGGAUUGUAAAGCACUUUCUGUUGGGAGGCGUUACCUACAGAAUAAGCACCGGCUAACUUCGUGCCAGCAGCCGCGGUAAUAC